rnacentral:lncRNA from 1 species
CAAGUUUGGUAAUGGUAAGUAGGGUUUCGAGGCUCAACUACUUUACUAGCUGCGACUAUGGAACUACUACCCUAACACUAAUGGUCUCGACUAAUCUAGCUAUCUGAGACUACCUUAGAUUAAAUCCAAGGGCUUGCGAUGCAAGGCUAAAUCCAAUUUCACUAAGGAACUACUACCGAGGUCUAAAGGCUCACAUCAACCUACUCUGAUCUAAGGCUACUUAGAAAAAAAAAGGGCGACCAUCACUUGCCGUUGCGACUAUAGAACUAAACUAGGUAGGCCAUUGCCCAU